rnacentral:rRNA from 1 species
UACGUAGGGUGCAAGCGUUUAAUCGGGAAUUACUGGGCGUAAAGCGUGCGCAGGCGGCUUUGCAAGACAGAUGUGAAAUCCCCGGGCUCAACCUGGGAACUGCAUUUGUGACUGCAUGGCUAGAGUACGGUAGAGGGGGAUGGAAUUCCGCGUGUAAGCAGUGAAAUGCGUAGAUAUGCGGAGGAACACCGAUGGCGAAGGCAAUCCCCUGGACCUGUACUGACGCUCAUGCACGAAAGCGUGGGGAGCAAACAGG